AGAGUUUGAUCAUGGCUCAGAACGAACGCUGGUGGUAUGCUUAACACAUGCAAGUCGAACGAGCGUGGCCUAGCUUGCUAGGAUUCUGCGAGUGGCGCACGGGUGAGGAACACGUGGGAAUCUACCUUAUAGUACGGAAUAACAUUCAGAAAUGGAUGCUAAUACCGCAUAAUACCUCCGGGUCAAAGAUUUAUCGCUGUUAGAUGAGCCCGCGUUAGAUUAGCUAGUUGGUAAGGUAAAAGCUUACCAAGGCUACGAUCUAUAGCUGGUCUGAGAGGAUGACCAGCCACACUGGGACUGAGACACGGCCCAGACUCCUACGGGAGGCAGCAGUGGGGAAUAUUGGACAAUGGGCGAAAGCCUGAUCCAGCGAUGCCGCGUGAGUGAUGAAGGCCUUAGGGUUGUAAAACUCUUUCAGAUGGGAAGAUAAUGACUGUACCAUCAGAAGAAGCCCCGGCUAACUCCGUGCCAGCAGCCGCGGUAAUACGGAGGGGGCUAGCGUUGUUCGGAUUUACUGGGCGUAAAGGGUACGUAGGCUGUCUAUCAAGUUGGGAGUGAAAUCCCGGGGCUCAACCCCGGAACUGCUCACAAAACUGGUAGACUAGAGUUAAGUAGAGGAUAGUGGAAUUCUUAGUGUAGAGGUGAAAUUCGUAGAUAUUGGGAGGAACACCAGAAGCGAAGGCGACUAUCUGGGCUUAUACUGACGCUAAGGUACGAAAGUGUGGGGAGCAAACAGGAUUAGAUACCCUGGUAGUCCACACUGUAAACGAUGAGUGCUAGUGGUCGGGUCUUUACGAUUCGGUUGCAAAGCUAACGCGUUAAGCACUCCGCCUGGGGAGUACAGUCGCAAGACUAAAACUCAAAGGGAUUGACGGGGGCCCGCACAAGCGGUGGAGCAUGUGGUUUAAUUCGAUGCUACGCGAAAAACCUUACCAAUCUUUGACAUAGUAGAUCGCGAUUUCCAGAGAUGGAUAUCUUCAGUUCGGCUGGAUCUAUUACAGGUGUUGCAUGGCUGUCGUCAGCUCGUGUCGUGAGAUGUUGGGUUAAGUCCCGCAACGAGCGCAACCCCUACUCUUAUUUGCUAACGGUUCGGCCGAGAACUAUAAGAGAACUGCCGGUGAUAAACUGGAGGAAGGUGGGGAUGAUGUCAAGUCAUCAUGGCCCUUACAGAUUGGGCUACACACGUGCUACAAUGGCAACUACAAUGAGAUGCAAUAUCGUGAGGUGGAGCAAAUCUAUAAAAGUCGUCUCAGUUCGAAUUGUACUCUGCAACUCGAGUACAUGAAGUUGGAAUCGCUAGUAAUCGCAGAUCAGAACGCUGCGGUGAAUACGUUCCCGGGCCUUGUACACACUGCCCGUCAAGCCAUGGGAGUUGGCUUUACUCGAAGCCAGUGGGCUAACCUUUUAGGAGGCAGCUGUCCACGGUAAGGCCAGCGACUGGGGUUAAGUCAUAACAAGGUAGCCGUA
rnacentral:rRNA from 1 species